rnacentral:rRNA from 1 species
UCUGCCCUCUUGUUCUGGAUAACUGAUGGAAACGGCAGCUAAUACCGGAUAAGCUCCACCAAUUGUAUGGUGGAGGAAAGGAGGCCUCUUCAUGAAAGCUUCCGCGAGGGGAUGAGUCCGCGUCCCAUUAGCUAGUUGGUGAGGUAACGGCCCACCAAGGCAACGAUGGGUAGCCGGUUUAAGAGGAUGACCGGCCACACUGGAACUGAAACACGGUCCACACUCCUACGGGAGGCAGCAGUGGGGAAUAUUGCGUAAUGGACAGAAGUCUGACGCAGCGACGCCACGUGAGGGAUGAAGGUUUUCGGAUCAUAAACCUCUGUCAGGAGGGAAGAAAGCGCAUGGCGCCAAUCAGCCAUGCGUUGACGGUACCUCCAAAGGAAGCGCCGGCUAACUCCGUGCCAGCAGCGCGCGGUAAUACGGAGGGCGCGAGCGUUAAUAUGGAAUUACUGGGAGUAAAGCGCGGGUAGUCUGUUGUGUAAGUUGGGGGUGAAAUCCCGCGGCUCACCCGUGGAACAGCCCUUGAUACUGCGUGACUUGAAUCCGGGAGAGGGUGGAGGAAUUCCAGGUGUAGGAGUGAAAUCCGUAGAUAUCUGGAGGAACAUCAGUGGGGAAGGCGGCCACCUGGACCGGUAUUGACGGUGAGGCGAGAAAGCGUGGGGAGCGAACAGGAUUAGAUACCUUGGUAGUCCACGCUGUAAACGAUGAGUGCUAGGUGUCGGGGAGGAAUCCUCGGUGCCGGAGCAAACGCAAUAAGCACUCCACCUGGGGAGUACGCCCGCAAGGUUGAAACUCAAAGGAAUUGACGGGGGCCCGCACAAGCGGUGGAGCAUGUGGUUUAAUUCGAAGCAACGCGAAGAACCUUACCAAGGCUCGACAUCUCGAUGAUGAAUGUAGAGAUACAUUUUUUCUUCGGAACAUCGAUGACAGGUGGUGCAUGGUUGUCGUCAGCUCGUGUCGUGAGAUGUUGGGUUAAGUCCCGCAACGAGCGCACCCCUUAUCCUCAGUAGCCAGCGGCCAGGCCGGGCACUCUGUGGAGACUGCCAGGGACAACCUGGAGGAAGGCGGGGAUGACGUCAAAUCAUCAUGCCCCUUAUGUCUUGGGCGACACACGUGCUACAAUGGCGUAAACAAAGGGAGGCGAAAGGGUGACCUGGAGCGAACCCCAAAAACAACGUCCCAGUUCGGAUUGUAGUCUGCAACCCGAUUCCAUGAAGCUGGAAUCGCUAGUAAUCGCGAAUCAGAAUGUCGCGGUGAAUACGUUCCCGGGUCUUGCACACACCGCCCGUCA